rnacentral:rRNA from 1 species
CCUACGGGGCGCAGCAGUGAGGAAUAUUGGUCAAUGGGCGCGAGCCUGAACCAGCCAAGUCGCGUGAGGGAAGACGGCCCUACGGGUUGUAAACCUCUUUUGCCGGGGAGCAACGGGCGCCACGUGUGGCGCCACUGAGAGUACCCGGAGAAAAAGCAUCGGCUAACUCCGUGCCAGCAGCCGCGGUAAUACGGAGUAUGCGAGCGUUAUCCGGAUUUCUGGGGUUUAAAGGGUGCGUAGGCGGAGCGUUAAGUCAGUGGUAAAAUUGAGGGGCUCAACCCCUUCCCGCCAUUGAAACUGGCGUUCUUGAGUGGAAGAGAAGUAUGCGGAAUGCGUGGUGUAGCGGUGAAAUGCAUAGAUAUCACGAAGAACACCGAUUGCGAAGGCAGCAUGCCGGCUUCCGACUGACGCUGAAGCACGAAAGCGUGGGGAUCGAACAGGAUUAGAUACCCCAGUAGUC